rnacentral:rRNA from 1 species
UACGAAGGGGGCUAGCGUUGUUCGGAAUCACUGGGCGUAAAGGGCGCGUAGGCGGCUUUUCAAGUCGGGGGUGAAAGCCUGUGGCUCAACCACAGAAUUGCCUUCGAUACUGUUAGGCUUGAGACCGGAAGAGGUGAGUGGAACUGCGAGUGUAGAGGUGAAAUUCGUAGAUAUUCGCAAGAACACCAGUGGCGAAGGCGGCUCACUGGCCCCGAUACUGACGCUGAGGCACGAAAAGCGUGGGGGAGCAAACAGGG